UACGCCCGUAGUUUAUGAGGAUGAGCACCUCCGAAGGAGGUUUGAGCCGAGCGCAGCGAGACCACGUUGCUUUGGCAACGGCCCGCAGGGCAAGCAUCGCAGAUGCGCGUCAUCCUCUCUCGCCGACCA
rnacentral:sRNA from 1 species